GGCGGCAUGCUUACCAUGCAAGUCGAAGGCAGCACGGGAGCAUCCUGGUGGCGAGUGGCGAACGGGUGAGUAAUAUAUCGGAACGUGCCCAGUCGUGGGGGAUAACGUAGCGAAAGCUACGCUAAUACCGCAUACGAUCUAUGGAUGAAAGCGGGGGAUCGCAAGACCUCGCGCGAUUGGAGCGGCCGAUAUCAGAUUAGGUAGUUGGUGAGGUAAAGGCUCACCAAGCCGACGAUCUGUAGCUGGUCUGAGAGGACGACCAGCCACACUGGGACUGAGACACGGCCCAGACUCCUACGGGAGGCAGCAGUGGGGAAUUUUGGACAAUGGGCGCAACCCGAUCCAGCAAUGCCGCGU
rnacentral:rRNA from 1 species